UACAGAGGUCUCAAGCGUUGUCCGGAUUUAUUGGGCGUAAAGAGCGUGUAGGCGGCUUGACAGGUCUGCUGUGAAAACUCGAGGCUCAACCUCGAGAUGUCGGCGGAAACCGUCUGGCUAGAGUCCGGAAGAGGAGAGUGGAAUUCCUGGUGUAGCGGUGAAAUGCGCAGAUAUCAGGAAGAACACCCGUGGCGAAGGCGGCUCUCUGGGACGGUACUGACGCUGAGACGCGAAAGCGUGGGGAGCGAACAGG
rnacentral:rRNA from 1 species